AUUAAAUCACAUAAAUGAUAAGUUAUACGAUGUUGUAAAUGAUACUAU
rnacentral:guide_RNA from 1 species